AGUGAACGCUGGCGGUAGGCCUAACACAUGCAAGUCGAACGGCAGCACAGUAAGAGCUUGCUCUUACGGGUGGCGAGUGGCGGACGGGGGAGGAAUACAUGGGAAUCUACUUUUUCGUGGGGGAUAACGUAGGGAAACUUACGCUAAUAACGCAUACGACCUACGGGUGAAAGCAGGGGAUGUUCGGACCUUGCGCGAGGGAAUGAGCCGAUGUAGGAUUAGCUAGUUUGCGGGGUAGAGGCCAAGCAAGGCGACGAUCCUUAGCUGGUCUGAGAGGGUCGUUACCUACCCUGUCUCUGAGACACGUCCCACACUCUUACGCGAGGCCGCAGUGCGGAAUCUUGCACGAUGCGGGCAAGCCUGAUCUAGGCAUAUCGCGUGGGUGCUGAACGACUUCUGGUUCUAAAGCCCUUUUGUUGUGAAAGUAAUGCAGCACGUUUAUACCCCGCUGUUCUGACGGUACCCAAAGAAUAAGCACCGGCUAACUCCGUG
rnacentral:rRNA from 1 species